GGUGGAAUUGCUGGGUCAUGUGGUAACUAUGUUCAGCUUUUCAAAAAAUUGCCAAACUGUUUUCCAAAGCAGCUGUACCAUUUUACAUUCUCUCUAGCAGU
rnacentral:pre_miRNA from 2 species